rnacentral:rRNA from 1 species
GAUCAUGGCUCAGGAUGAACGCUGGCGGCGUGCCUAAUACAUGCAAGUCGAACGCUUGCUUGAGGACUUGUCUUCAAGCGGGAGUGGCGGAACGGGUGAGUAAUACAUAAGCAAUCUGCCCAUCGGCUUGGGAUAACAGUUGGAAACGACUGCUAAUACCGGAUAGGUGAUAGGGAGGCAUCUCUCGAUCAUUAAAGUUGGGAUACAACACGGAUGGAUGAGCUUAUGG